GACGAACGCUGGCGGCGUGCUUAACACAUGCAAGUCGAACGCUGAACCCGCUUCGGUGGGGGAUGAGUGGCGAACGGGUGCGUAACACGUGGGCAACCUGCCCCCGGCUCUGGGAUAACUCCAAGAAAUUGGGGCUAAUACCGGAUGUGACCGCUGGCCGCAUGGUCUGGUGGUGGAAAGGGUUUCCGGCUGGGGAUGGGCCCGCGGCCUAUCAGCUUGUUGGUGGGGUAGUGGCCUACCAAGGCGACGACGGGUAGCCGGCCUGAGAGGGUGACCGGCCACACUGGGACUGAGACACGGCCCAGACUCCUACGGGAGGCGGCAGUGGGGAAUAUUGCGCAAUGGGCGGAAGCCUGACGCAGCGACGCCGCGUGGGGGAUGACGGCCUUCGGGUUGUAAACCUCUUUCAGCAGGGACGAAGCGCAAGUGACGGUACCUGCAGAAGAAGCACCGGCCAACUACGUG
rnacentral:rRNA from 1 species